rnacentral:rRNA from 1 species
GACGAACGCUGGCGGCGUGCUUAACACAUGCAAGUCGAACGGAAAGGCCCUGCUUUUGUGGGGUGCUCGAUUGGCGAACGGGUGAGUAACACGUGAGUAACCUGCCCUUGACUUUGGGAUAACUUUAGGAAACUGGGGCUAAUACCGGAUAUGAUCUCCUGCUGCAUGGUGGGGGUUGGAAAGUUUCGGCGGUUGGGGAUGGACUCGCGGCUUAUCAGCUUGUUGGUGAGGUAGUGGCUUACCAAGGCUUUGACGGGUAGCCGGCAUUGGAGGGUGACCGGGCACAUUGGGACUGAGAUACGGACCAGACUCCUACGGGAGGCAGCAGUGGGGAAUAUUGCACAAUGGGCGGAAGCCUGAUGCAGCAACGUUGGGUGCGGGAUGACGGCCUUCGGGUUGUAAACAGAUUUCGCAUGUGACGAAGAGUGAGUGACGGUAAUGGGUAAAGAAGCACCGGCUAACUACGUG